rnacentral:rRNA from 1 species
UACGUAGGGCGCAAGCGUUAUCCGGAAUUAUUGGGCGUAAAGAGCCUCGUGAGCGGUUUGUCGCGUCUGCCGUGAAAGUCCGGGGCUCAACUCCGGAUCUGCGGUGGGUACGGGCAGACUAGAGUGAUGUAGGGGGAGACUGGAAUUCCUGGUGUAGCGGUGAAAUGCGCAGAUAUCAGGAGGAACACCGAUGGCGAAGGCAGGUCUCUGGGCAUUAACUGACGCUGAGGAGCGAAAGCAUGGGGAGCGAACAGG